rnacentral:snoRNA from 1 species
CUUAUUCUGAUGUACCUUAUUACCGCCCCAGUCUGAAUAUUUCAGUUGAAUGGUUAUUUUCUGAAUUUAA